rnacentral:rRNA from 1 species
UACGGAGGGUGCGAGCGUUGUCCGGAAUCACUGGGCGUAAAGGGCGCGUAGGUGGCUUGGCAAGCGUGUGGUGAAAGCCCGGGGCUCAACCCCGGGUCUGCCGUGCGAACUGCUAUGGCUUGAGCACUGUAGAGGCAGGUAGAAUUCCGGGUGUAGCGGUGGAAUGCGUAGAGAUCCGGAAGAAUACCGGUGGCGAAGGCGGCCUGCUGGGCAGUGGCUGACACUGAGGCGCGGCAGCGUGGGGAGCAAACAGG